rnacentral:rRNA from 1 species
UGGGGAAUUUUGCACAAUGGGGGAAACCCUGAUGCAGCCACGCCGCGUGAUUUAGAAGGCCUUCGGGUUGUAAAAAUCUUUUCUAUGGGAAGAAAAUGACAGUACCAUAGGAAUAAGGACCGGCUAAUUACGUGCCAGCAGCCGCGGUAAUACGUAAGGUCCGAGCGUUGUCCGGAAUCAUUGGGCGUAAAGGGUACGUAGGCGGGUAAGCAAGUUAGAAGUGAAAUCCUAUAGCUCAACUAUAGUAAGCUUUUAAAACUGCUCAUCUUGAGGUAUGGAAGGGAAAGUGGAAUUCCUAGUGUAGCGGUGAAAUGCGCAGAUAUUAGGAGGAAUACCGGUGGCGAAGGCGACUUUCUGGCCAUAACCUGACGCUGAGGUACGAAAGCGUGGGUAGCAAACAGG